AUCAUGCUCAUCUCACCCGACAUUAAUUUCUUAUUGAUUGCAUAUUAUUGAAAUUGAACGAAUGUUUAUCAUUAACGAGAAUCAAAUGUUUCCAGGUACAAUCUUGUAUGAAAAGGAACUCCCGCACUAAAAAUGUUCUUUUAUUUGGCCAACUAACCUGAGACAUUGGUCUACUUUUCCAACCUUCAGGUCAAUCAAGCCCUCAGCAAACAUGGAAAUCACCCCAAGCAUUACAAUAGGCAAUGGACGCCUCCAUGAGCCAGUAUGUGAAUCCUACAGCACCCAAGCAGCAAACCUUUGAAUGAGAAAAAAUAAAAAUAAUUCAUGAUAAUUAUGAAAUUCGAUGUCGACAUCGAUAUUGACGAUAAAUAUGAUUAUGACCACGACGACGACAACGUCUGAGCGGUAGAUGAAUGAAUUGCUCCCAGUUAUGGUAUUUUGAGUCGUUCAUAUAAGACAGCAAACAUCAUUAUUGGAGAGAUUCAGCGGGCAGGAUUGAAGCCUGAGAUUGAAGUCUGAGAUUGAAGUCCACUCAAAACCCAAAUGAAAAUCUCAUCUCAAUGGUUUGGGUGUGUUUCCCCAAACAUAAGCUAAGCACCCUGGAGCUAAAGUGGUCCAUUUUGUUGCUGCCUUAGCUUUGUGCCACCUCCAAAAAGGAGCAGAAUGUAGAAUGGACAUAGUGGAAAAACUUUCCAUUCCUGAUGGAAUGCACACAAGCCAUUCCUUUUGGCAAAAGGAUAAUAAAAGCCGAAACGCAAGCCCCUGCUAAGGAAAGAAAUACCACCAGACAAUGAAAAUUGUUUGCACAAGAAGAGAGGAAGCCCUUCGUGAACUCGAAGGAGUGACCUAUGAGGCUGGAUCAUUCUGAUUUGUUUCCUUAGGCCUCUAGAAACAAAAUUUGGAUGAUUUUCCACUUAUUAACAUCUCUGGUUAUGACCAAUUGCAAUAUGUAGUCUUUUGUUCACUUUAAGUCUGUUUUCCUAGAAUGAUAAAUUUUUCACCUUUGAGAAAAGAUAUUUCAAGAAAGAUUUAAGCUAUUAACCUGGAAAUUUCAGGAGAGUUAGGUCUCAUUUAGUUAAUUGUUAUGAAUGAGGAAAUUUGCCCAAUGGUUGCUGGGCAAAAAAAGACCACUGAUUAUUUACCUUGAUGUUUAGCAUGUAACUUGAAAUAACUCCAGUGUGGUAUUUUAAAAAAUUUUAUAAAACUCCUCAUUCAUUUCAAUAAAUUUAUAUUUUUAUGAAAUGACACAAAACGUUUAUUCUUCUGUUAAGUUUUGGAGGAGAAAUCUUUUCUCAAGUAUCUAUGGGUCUUGCACUGCGGGUGCUACAUUUGAGAGCCAGGUAUCAAAUUUCUUCUGAUGCCUACUGCAUGAAAAUUGGCAUGAUCAGACUCUCUGACUUUUAAACUUUUCAGUGAUACAUAAUUUGCUAUGGUUUGAAUUAAAACUGGCUCUGCCAUAGUUAUUACAAAAAGUGUACUUUUUCCAGGUGAAACUCCCCCUAACUGAAAAUGGUAUUUUGAUUUAAUU